GACUCGGUAGUGCAGUGGUAGCACGCGUCCCCACUGGUAGCGAGUGAAAUGCGCGGGUUCGACUCCCGCUUUAUGUCG